CUAUAAUUACCUUUAGAUGUGAUUAGGCUGCUAGGGUCAUGUAGGAUAAUGUCCUUAGUUUUCUUUUUGUUUUUUUUUUUGAGAUGGAGUCUCACUCUGUCGCCCAGGCUAGAGUGCAGUGGUGCGACCUUGGCUCACUGCAACCUCAGCCUCCUGAGUAGCUGGGAUUACAGGUGUGCGCCACCAUGCCCUAAUUUUUGUAUUUUUACUAGUGAUGGGUUUUCACCAUGUUGGUCAGGCUGGUCUCAAACUCCUGACCUCGUGAUCCGCCCUCCUCGGCCUCCCAAAGUGCUGGGAUUACAGGCGUGAGCCACUGCGGCGGCUGUCCUUAGGUUUUGUUUUGUUUUGUUUUGUUUGAGAUGGAGUUUCACUUUUGUUACCCAGGCUGGAGUGCAAUGACGCCAUCUCAGCUCUCCACAACCUUCGUCUCCCGGCUUCAAGCGAUUCUCCUGCCUCAGCCUCCUGAGUAGCUGGAACUACAGGUGCCCACCAUCAUGCCCAGUUAAUUUUGUAUUUUUUAGUAGAGACGGGGUUUCUCCAUGUUGGUCAGGCUGGUCUUGAACUUCCGACCUCAGGUAAUCCACCCACCGUGGCCUCCCAAAGUGCUGGGAUUACAGGCAUGAGCCACCGCGCCCGGUCUGUCCUUAGUUUUUAAAGAUGCAAGCUGCUGGGAGGAAGUAUCCUGAUGUCUAUAAUUUGUUUUGCAGUGCUUCGGCAGAGAUUAUGAAUAUAAAUAGAUGAAGCAAAUACAGCAAAAUGUUAAUAGUUGUUGAAAUAUGUUGUGGGGGUAUAUGAAUGAUCAUCAUACUAUUUUCUCCCUUUUUAUUCCUGAAUGCUUGAAAUGAUCAUAAAGUCUUAUUUUUUAAAGCAGAAACAUGCUAUUUAUUUUGCUUUAAUUCUGAGUUCUUUCUCUCUGAAAACUUCCAAGAUCCUUGCAAAGUUCUUGCCAGCAAGUAUUUGGGACACCCACUAUGGGCCAGGCACUUGUGAGCAGGGAAAGCUCAAAAGAAAAAGAUGCAGUAGCUGAUGACCUCAGAGAAUUCACAAAGUGAACCUCAGACCUCAAACGCUCCUGAUGAAGAAGAGCUCUUAGAAACUCAGAUUUAAAAAAUGCACAGGCCAAGCGCAGUGGCUCAUGCCUGUAAUCCCAGCACUCUACGAGGCCGAGGCGAGUGGAUCACUUGAGG
rnacentral:lncRNA from 1 species